GUUGGAGAGAAUGUCUUUACAGAUCGGAUUUCAGCGAUUUUUGAAACAAAUACUAUAAUAAUUUUUAAAUAUUACAUUUCUUUAUAUGAAUAAUUACUUUUUUUUGUAACAAUAAUUAUUGAUCAAGUACAAAUACAAAUUCUCACAUGAAUAAAAAUUACUAGGCAACUAAAUACAUGUAUUCACUUUGGAUUUCCCUAAACUUCACCGAGGAAACAAGCUUGAAAUAACAAGAAAACGAAAUGGAGGACAGAAAACCAUCUCCAUUCUCAACCCCUUCCGAAUCAACCACCACCUCCACGAAGACGCCGAUCUAUCGCAGCAAGGAGCCCUCCCCACCGUCGGAGCGAGGCAGCGGCCGGCGAGAUCCAGUGACGUCGGAGCGAAGACACACACAGCGACGACUGCGUCUCGCAGUGGCUUCAGAGGGCGCGGCUUGAUGUCGAAGAGCUCCACCUUGGCGGAGGAGGACCGGCGGCGCGCGUAGGAAGAGAGAAGACGGAGAGAAGAAGAGAGAAAAUGGGAGAGAAAAAAAAGAGCGGCUGAUUAGGGUUUGGCUGAGAAAAUAAAAAGGGCUUUUAUAUUUUUUGGUGUUGGACCGGGCCGGAUCUGUAAGCGGGUCGGGCUGGACCCGUCGCAUAGUAUGCGACCGUAUGCACACAAUAAUUUGCGUAUAGAGAAAAGUAGCAAUUAAACCCCUAACAUGGACACUCCUAUGGCGUUUAGCCCCAUAUACUUGAUAUUGAAUCAAUC
rnacentral:lncRNA from 1 species